GCGGAUGUGGCGGAACUGGUAGACGCACUGGAUUUAGGUUCCAGCGCCGCAAGGCGUGGGGGUUCGACUCCCUUCAUCCGCACCA
rnacentral:tRNA from 1 species